rnacentral:rRNA from 1 species
AUGAAUCUUGGUCUCACCUUCAGCAAGUCCUCAUCUACACUUGUCAGUGCUUUCUCUGACUCUGAUUGGGCAGGAUGCCUAGAUGAUAGACGUUCUACUGGUGGGUUUGCAGUGUUCUUUGGACCCAACCUCAUAUCAUGGUGUGCAAGAAAACAAGCAACCGUAUCAAGGUCAAGUACAGAGGCUGAGUAUAAGGCAUUGGCAAAUGCCACAGCAGAAAUCAUUUGGGUUCAGUCCAUGCUGAAAGAGCUUGGUGUGAAGCACAGUCAAGCUCCAUGUUUGUGGUGUGACAAUCUUGGUGCCACCUAUCUGUCUGCUAAUCCGGUCUUUCAUGCAAGGACAAAACACAUUGAAAUAGAUUUUCAUUUUGUGAGAGAACGUGUUGCUAAUAAACAAUUGGAAAUUCGUUUUGUGCAUUCAAGGGACCAGGUUGCAGAUGGCUUCACCAAGGCACUACCUACAAGGAAUCUUGAAGAAUUCAAACGUAAUCUCAACUUGCGAAGUUGUGAUUAA